AAGCUGCUGUGCUCUUCACAAAUAAAGCUGGAAGCAGCUCAGACUGUUAGAACCAGCACUGAGGCCUGUUACAUUUAUACAGUGUUAGAGCAAUGGCUGCAACCUACAGCCUUUAAACUAGCGAUUAAAAUGCUGACAGUAAACUCGUCAGUCCAGAUGUUACCACAUUACUUUGUGAUACUUAGAGUUAAAACAACUGAGACAGGCUGAUUAAAAUAACAGCUGUCAGUUCUCUCAUUCCUUAUAUCAAGACUGGAGAUCACACUACUGAUUUCAGUUCAUUUAAUAUGUGAGUGCACAGAUUCAUUCUCAACUGGACAUAAAUGAUGAUCAAAGGUUGUAUAUAUGAUGAAUUCAUCAAAUCCCAGCCUCUAACACAGUGCGCUGAAUCUUAGCUUUGAAUGUCCAGUAUAUUCUAAUCAGUGCAAUUUAAGCAUUCACUGAACCUACAAUAUCUACACCUGUGUGGCAAAUAUGUGGUAAAGAUACAGAUAAUGAAGUUUAAUUAUUAAUACAAUAUACAUCAUGAGAAACGAAAGCUGAAAUUGAUUCAGUUUAGUACUUUUCUCUGUAUGUUCUGUGAUUAUAAAGGCCUUAAAUUCUGUGAUAUAUACUGUAAAUGAUUUUCACAGAGGUCUUAAAGUACUUAAAUCACUGCUGAUACUCUGGUUGUUUAUAUUUUCAUGUUUUUGUGUCUGUAGGGCUGUUUGAUGACGAUUUGGACUCCUCUGGGUGAUUAGGACACACCCACAUCUGUUCCAUACUGCAGCCAUGGAUGGUGUUACAGCUCUGAGUCCGCUUUGGGCCAUCAGAUGCACACACUGGAAAACCAGCGCCUGUACUUCAUGCAGGAGAGAUGACCUCAGUGAUAAUUCAUCAGCAGCUGUGAAGAGAUGUAUUUGAAUAUCUUCUGGUUCCACUUUUCUUAACCUGGAAGCUGAGGAUGGCUAAUUCCUGACAAGGACACACACCUCAGCGCUUAUCAUGGGUGUUACAUCCUCUGCGCAGCAAUUCCAGAGAAAACGAGAGAGCAACGACCACACAUUAAGACCAGACAGAAAUCUGUCCCUUUCUGGCAGCUGUGGAAACUUCCAAUAAGAAAGUUUGCAUUCUUAGAACAAUGCUGGGUCAUGUGUGAUGUGUCAUUAUAUGAGGAUAUUACAUUUUAACUUAAUUCUGCUCAAUUAAGUGUUUUGUUCGUUGAUCCAAUAUGGCAGCUUUUUAUUGUGCUCCAAGUUAAAACUCAUUGUCCUCAUGAGCACAGCAUCUAACAACUCUCCUUAAAAAAGUCGAUUGACUUUAACUGGACACAAUGGUUUCCAGUGGGAGAUACAUUCAUCACUCAUCCGUGACACUGGAGAAGUCACCUGAGUGAGUGAUAAAGCAAUUUUCCAUGGAAAACCCAGAGGAACUAAACUUUGUUGUUGUUUCUUUGGGCUCAAUUUCAGCUCUAGCAGCAUCUCUCAGAAGAAAACCGUUUUGCAAAUAAUCAGAUAAAAAGAUUGUUGAACUAGGUGGUAUUCUCUGGAGUUUAAGACCAAAACUGAACUCAAACAGUGAAUUGACAUUAGACUGGAAUUCAUAAGAUGAAUAGAAAUACUGCUGAAGCUGAAUGAUUCAUUCAUGUAUAUAUAUGACUUUUUUUCCCCCCAAUUCACCAGGUCUGUAAAGUUCAGUAUGACUGUGGUACAUGAUACAAAAGAAUAAAUACAGAAGAAUAAAAACUUUAUGUGAAUAACUUUACUCUUCUUAAAAAUAACUCAUAAAACAAGUAAAAGUACAAAUGUGUACAAGUUAGAGACUUCCUCAGUAAGUUUACACUCUUUUGGAGUGAUUUUAAUUGUGUGUUAAAGAGAAAGAGAUUAGGAGGUAAAGUAGAGGAUGCAGAGUCAAUCAUCACUGAGGUCAUCUCUCCUGCAUGAAGUACAGGCGCUGGUUUUCCAGUGUGUGCAUCUGAUGGCCCAAAGCUGAC
ensembl:lncRNA